GCGGACCCUGGGGUGAGGGGAGAUGAGGUCGCGGUCACCUUCCGUUCUAUGGUAAAAUGAGGAUUGCUGACUGCCUGGUGUGUCUCUGGCGCGGAGGUGGAAAGUUUACGGUUCGAAGUCCCUUCCGUUUUUGAGCCUUUAGACACUGUGCAGUGUGUAUACAUAGUGUUGUUUCACGUUGUUUUCGUGAAUGAAACGGGAAUGGAAAAAAAGAAAGUUUGCCAGAGUUGUGUUCUGCUGAAGCAUGAAACCGGACAAGGAACUGUCCACUGCGUGAAUACCAAGUAAAAGACAAACUGCACUCCUUCCAGGGGGUUUGAGUGGGCCACCCAUGAUGCCCAGAGAAAGCAGCUGAGAAAGACUUUCUUUGGUCAUGACUCAGCCUGACACCGAGGCUUCUUCCAGCCCGAUCUCUGCUGAAGUCCUAAGAGGAUGAAGACUUUCUUCCCAAGGGAUACAGAGGGGAAAAAAAAGAGAUCUGGGACAAGAAAGUCAGACACAUAAGUCAGAACGGGAUGUCACAGUGAGGUGGAAAAUCUGAGACCUGAGGGUCCCAAGAUAACAAGCCAGGCCGGGGGGAGCCCCGUCCACUGUGCGCUGGGGUGGUGCCCUUCACAGUCUGCCAAGCUGUCCCUCCUGGCCGGGAUUGCCAGCUAUAUUGUAGGCUGUGCAUGUAUUAUCCACGUACUGACUAAUAAAAUGCUAAAUAGCCUGCCUGAGAAAAAUACACCUCGUGGACAAAGUAGGAUGAAGUCAUUUCAACCAUAAAUGCCAAGAGAACCGAACAUUUGGUCAGUUGGAGAUUUUAUAAGAAGGUUCAUAUUUAAAUUCCUUCCUUCAAUAGGAAAUAAACAUUAAUAAUAACGAUUGGGAAAUUUUCUCUUUUUCUGUUUUGGGAAAGCAGAGUAUAUGGGUAACUACACAUACCUCAAAUUCUUAAAGUUAUACAUUACUUAGAUUUAAAAUACCCCAAACUCCCAAGUUCAACCUCUAACCUUCUGGGUCGUUGGCUCCAGGGAGCCUGCUACCCUCCUUUUCGACUGUUUCAUGGUCAUGGAGGAAGAGACCUGGCAUUAGUCAGCAGUUUCUGAAUUUUGACCCACAAUAGGAAAGAUACCUUGAGACAGGAGAAAUAGAUGGAGGCAAUUACAAACAGCCACUUGAUUGAUGGUUGACAUUGUCAGGGCUCCACUGUAUGGCAGCUUGCAAUGGUGUUGAACUCCCCUUGCUACCAGUGGAUGUUGCUAUUGGCAACCGUGCAGUGAAGCCAAUAAAAAGGCAAGAAAAUGAGAGGAAAACUCAACCUUAGUGGAAGCCGUAGGGUUUCUGCUAUAAAUUACAUUCCCCUUAGCAAUAUGCAGCAUCAACAUUCAGGGUAGCCACAGUGCAUGUAGCUGUCUGCAGUCUCCAUUGGACUCUGGGUCUAGUUUUAUCAUAAAGCACAUGCUUUAAAAUUUUGCUCUAGAUACACUGGCAUUCAUCUUUCUGGGCUAUUUAUUUAUUUAUCAUUGGGGAGGACGACAGAUGUGGGUUCAUCGCUGCCUCACAUGGACUGAUUUUCAGUUCCCACUUGUAAUACGAACAUGAUGUGACGCGACAGCUGGAAACACCUGCAGUCCUUCUAGCUGCAGACCCACAACCAGGGUCUGGCCCUGCCUCCACCCACCCUUUUUCCUCACCUGAAGGAGGGAGACAGCCCAGCAGAAGCUAUUUUCCUUUAUAGCUGAGUGACUUGGAAAACUGGCUUAAUAAAAUCCAUAAAUCUGAACAACCUCCUCUCACCUGCUCUGCAGAGGCAAUUUUUCCUGCACUUAUUUUCUCCUCGAGUUUCUCCAGUCUUUCCCACAGAGACAGUGGUAGAGGGUUAGCUGGGAACAUUAUUUUUUAGGGUUCCCACUCCUUCCUUCUCUCUUUUGUCAAUCCACUCCCUACUCAAGUAUCUCUCUUUUCUAAGCAAUUGAUGACAGGAUGUACCUUCAUUUUUUUUUGAUAACAAGUGCCAUUUUUCCUUGUUUGGAUUAAUGUUCACCUUCCCUUUGGCCAUCUCUUACCACCUGCAUUGGGCCCUAUAUUUUCCUUGUUAGUCAUUUUCUUUUGGUUCUCCUCCUUUCCCUCCUCCUCUUCCCCCAUUUGCCUGGUUUAUAAUUUUCUUUUCCUCCAUUUCUGGUCAUGUAGAAUCUUUCUUCUGCCUCAUGGUUACCUUGCUCUUCCCUUACUUCUGUUUUGGUUCCUUAAUUUACUCAUUCUUUAAACAUUCCCCCAAUGUCUACUAUGUGCCAGGAAGACAAUGUCCUUGGUGGAACUUGGCCCCUCUUUCUCUGAGUAAAGUUAAUAACUGACACUGACCAGCAACAACAAGAACAGAAGUGGUUUUAAAUUUUAGAAUUUUUUGGAACUGGAAUGGGCUUCAAGGUUCAUCUGGUCCAGAGAUUUCGAAUUCCUCAGAGGCCCUUUAUGGGCCACUGGGUAUGUAAUCAAA